UUUUUUUUUGUGCAGCUUGCAAUUCAAGGUACUUCAUACUGACAUUUUACACACAUACACAUUACAUCCUUGUAUACAUGUGUAUUUUUUUCAGAAUUUUUUGAAACUGAAAAGUUUGAAUUUUGAACUUUUCAAAAUUAAGGCCUCCAUGGAGCUCGGUCUCCAAAAUGCCCUACUCCUGUAGCCCAUUGGUAAUCUCCUUAUAAAUUGCUACCUUGUUUGUUAACCCAUUAACUAUUUUCCUGUUGAUCCAUCUUGAGCCUUCAGAGUUUCUCAAAGAAGUCUCUGGAACGGUGGGUUCUUACGGUGCAUUAACCAAUGUUAUAACGUCCCUUACAUUGGUCACGAGUGCUCACACCUAUGGACCUUUUGGAAAAGGAGAUGGGAUUCCGUUUAGCAUGGCAGCAGCGAGCAAUAGCAGCAUCGUUGGCUUCUUUGGGCGUUCAGGGUGGUAUCUUGAUGCCAUUGGUGUCUACACUCGCCCACUCUGACUAUGAUUGACUGAAGCCAGUGUGAGUACUUACCUGCUCUUUAUUUCUCACAUCCUUCUGCUUAGUAAUUUUGAUUUGGUUGCUGUGUUCUAUCUUGGCAUGCUGAUUCGUUGGAAUUAGUUGUAAGCAACAAUGUGUUUCGUGUAAAUACGGAGCGCUCAUUAUUUGGAAGCUGGACUUCAUCUUGACCUCAAAGUGGUUGCUGUUGUUAUUUGGUCUUGGACCAGUAUGUUGGAGUAUUUUUGAAACACACAGCGAUAUGGGGAUUGAAAAACAUGGCCUGGAACAGGCAUCUAAUGUACUGCUCCAUUUUGCUGUGCUAUCACAGAAACGGAGGAUACUACUACUGGCGACAGGCGGUGAGGUUUCAGUGUUCCACAAGCGAAGGAAAGUUCUCUGAAGAUGGCUUCGCUAUCGUCGAGUUCAAUCAGUAAUAUAUCCGCACGUGUUGGUACUAUGUUCAACUUCUAAUAAGAGAGCUUUGUUGUGAACUUUUCAAAUGCCAUAAGUUAUUUUGCCCAGUAGGUCGAGACAGGGUGUUGAGAACUGUUGAGCUGUAGUUUAUGCUGCUACCUUUUGGUAGUGCUUGAAAUGUGGGAUGUGUGAAACUCUAAACUCUAGUGCAGGCUGGGUGGGACUGGGGUUAUGUAGCCCCAAGUCUGGUGUUGCUUUUGUUUUCAGCUUCCGUUUCUAUUACGUUAAUUGUUUAAUUGUAAAAUUGGCAGUUUCUUUUAUAAAAAUCGACGAGAAGGCUGGUUGUUUUUCUUUUAGAAGGUCGAGACAGGGUAGUGUGUCCGACUUGUUUCCUGCUCCGCCUUGUGUUAUCAACUCUGUUUGGGUUGUGAACUUGUGACCAAGUGAAAGGGGGGAAUAACCAAUGGUGUUUCCAACCUUAAAAGCAACUGUUGCAACACCCUGUUGGUACCCAGAUGGGGCUUAUAACUUCCAUGUAGUAGUACCCGUGUCAUGUAUGUUUUGCUAUUUGGUUCAUGUGGGGUGAGAGAACCAGGAAGCUUCCAUCUUUACAGUGAUCUUCAGAUUGCACGAAUGAGGCCGAUGGCCCAACUGUCACCGGCUGAAUUCAGCAAACAUUGUGCUUGUCGCAAAGGAUGAAGCAGACAGCAGAGCAUAUUUCAUUUGAGUUUUUCAUCGAUUACUAGUACAUUUUUUUCAAAUUGUGUGCUACUUAAUGUACUUCACUCCAGAACUGCUUGCCGAGAACUCUACAGACACACUAUUCAUCAUCCAGGACAAACCGACUAGGCACAGAUUGCUGAGGGUCAUCCAGGAUUCGAAAGCGGCAAGAGCAACCAGGAUCAAACUGUUGACCAUGAUUUCGACGACCUCGGCAACCAUGCUACCAUAAUUCACACUCCUCCAGCUGCAGCAGCAACACGGAUAACAUCAUGUUGGAAGGUCUUGGAGGAAGGUGUGAUACAUGACUUUCUUACUCUGUUCUGUUUUGGAGCUGGAGGAUCUGUUUGGUGAUUCUGAAGGUGAUAGCAAAUUGCUGAUUUUCCAUGCUUUGGAGAUUUCUGUAUUUUUGUUUGGCUACCUCAUGUAGUCUUCAUUGGAUAGAGUUUCUUGAAACUUAUGUGCAACAAAAGUAGGAACAAUGAUGCUGAAGUGCCUCGCUCGCCUACUGAAUAACUAUUCGAUUCACAUUACGUUCUUAUACUCCGACCUAACGGAUACUUAUUUGUCCACUUCUUAUUUGAGCUGCAGAUACAGAAAAUAAAGACUUCAUGAUGGUCCUCUCGUGGGUCAUAUUGUGGUUAGUGAUGCGUAAUUGGAGCGAACCAGGCUGGCAUUUUUGAAUCCGUGUGCAGGUGCGCCAGGUUUGAAUUCUUUGGAAAAUGGAAGAAGAUUGAAACCUUCUCCUGAAGGAGACAUUCACAUUUGCUGAAGCAUUACAAGUCUAUAGUGCAAGUCCAACCUUGUCCAGAACUUGGCAUUGUUGAUGUAGGAUCAGAUGAGGUGUUGGCUCCUUGAGGCAACAAGCUCUUCAGUAUGGAUACAACAUAAUAACGGAGGUCGAUUGGCAACUCCGGGUGCUGAAAUAUUUGUGGAAUGUUACCUUUGAACACUUUCUAAGUGCGGCUAAAGCAAAAGGCUAAGAUAUCCCUGCUGUUUUUUUGGGUUGGGUUAUCGUCUGAAAUUUAUCAUCGACAUUGGUAGACCAGGUAACAAAUAUGACGGAAUAUAAUUAAACUGUAGAUUACUGGCAUGCCAAACCUCAAGAAACACAGAGAACGCCUCGAGAAACCAAACAAAACAACAUACGUACCUUUGACCGUCUCCAUGAGUAUGGAAUUUCUCAACACAUAGCAAAAAGGUGUACAGGAAUUUUCUCUACAGUCAACCUCUGCUUCCAUUACUUCAGUCUGAUGCUUGUGUAUUGACUAGACAACUUCAUCAGGAAGCAAAGGUCCCAAAAAUGGCAGGUAAAAAAUCAGCAGAAGGUAGGCCUGCAAUUACUCGGUAAACUGAAAAAGAAAAACAUGCAUCCAGAUUCGAGUACACACAUUUUAAUUUAGCUAGAGUGCGAUCAAGUAUUCCCAGGCUACCAAUAACCAGAAAUUAGUAUUGCGAGGUCCACACUGCAAAAGUAUUCUCAGGUUACCAAUAACUCGAAAUUAGAAUUACAACCGACCCAACGUCAUUGCUCAAGCUGCUGCAAGCCUGCGAGCAUUAUGAGACCACUGCACUCCCUGACCAUAUCCGUCAACAGAUAAUUAUCUCCACGGAUGAGGAUGAUCCAUGUGUGAGUUGCUCCUUAAUCCGAUGCCUGCUAGCUUUUUCCGCCUUGGAUCUUUCAAGGUUGUCGGCAUCGCAGUGCGUGCAUGGGCUUUCACCAUACAACUGGAUUAUCAAAAGCCCCACAGCUCGUUCCAUGACAAGCCUUGUAUAGUUUGUCACCUUGUCUUCAUCCUCGCACCCGAAGAUCUGCAGCACCUUCAAGUUCAGGUGCUUUAAAUCCUUGGAUGGCUCCCACAUGAUGGUGGUCUUCUCGGCACUGUCCUCGGGCGUCUUGACACAUGAAUGUCGAGACAACUUCAAGCAAUGAUAUAGAAAGUAAAUAACACAUGUUAAUUAAACUGCCACCAACCCUAAGGACAAGGUGACAACAAUUGUAAUUAAAUACUCCCUCCGUCCCAUAAUAUAAGAGCAUUUUUGACACCCCUAUAUACUUUUCAAGGAAUUUGCAUGAAUUAAAUCAUAAGUAUGGCACAUGAAUAUGCUUCUG
rnacentral:lncRNA from 1 species